rnacentral:lncRNA from 1 species
AGCCAGUGCCCUACACUAUACAAGAUGCCACUGUAGGGACAGGGAUGACCUCUAGCAAGGUGACCCUCAGUGGGCCAGAGGGGGCUUCUGAAGAGAAUUUCUCUAGCUUCUUGGUGUUUCCUGCCUGCUACUUUCAAACAAGGGUCCCAUUUUUAAUGUUUUCCCAGUAAUACCUUAUGAAUGUUAUUGCAAAGGUAAAGGAAAUUAUAUUUUUGCUCUUAUUGUUGUUCACUCUACUCCCAUUUAGCAAUUAACAUUGAAAGCCCGGGUCUGCACUCUACUGGGAUUUGCUGGGCUAGAUUCUCAGAGGAGCUCAACAUUGAUUGAGUUCCUCGCUCCACGUUAAAUCUUUGGAAAAUUAACUAAAGAUCUCCUAGUAAGAUGCUUGUAACUUACUACAUAAGGUGAAAUAGUGACUUUACAGUACAAAAACUAUAACCCAAGUAUUACCACCAGCAGCGGGCUAAAUCAACACCACAGGCCCCGUGAUCAAUAUAUGUGAUGAGGACAUUACAUCCUGGUGUUGUUGCCCCAAGUCUUGACGUGAAUCUGACCACAAGGACAAUUCGGACAACCUGAAAUGGUGACGCAUUCUACAAAAUAAACAUCAAUGUCAUGAAAGACAAAGACUCAAGAUUUUCUGCUUAAUGGAGACUAAAGAGAUGCGACAACAGAAUGCCAGGCAUGAUCUUGGAUAUUCUUUUGGCUCAAACAGUCUUAGGACAAUUGAAAAAACGUGAAUGAGGUCUGUAGCUAAUAGAAUUGUGUCAAUGCC